UGUGUUUCGGUUGGAUAUACUGCUGUGUUGUGAAUAUUGGAAGUGUUGUUGUUAGACCCUUUUUUGGCAUAUUCGCUUACAGCUGUAUGAACUUAGGAGUUGUGUUUGAUUCUGUUAUUUCACAGUUAUGAUUUUGUUCAUAUCAUAUUACACUUCUGAGUUCACGUAUUAAGGAAAAGUCAUAUUGGGUUUGGUUUAAAUGUCAAUGUAGAGCUAUUAUGUCGACGUUUUGUUUAAUUGUGACAAACUUCUAAAACUCUGUUAAUAGCAUUCGUAAGACAGGUUUUGAAAUUCUGCUCAGCAUGAUAAGUGAAUAGAAAGUGAAGAGGAAAUGGGAUUCGAGUUUUCUUGCAUCCUAGGGUGAGUGAAGAUCUACUUAUAUAACCUCUCUUCUCAAUUCUGUUAUGAGAUGUUCUCAAUUCUGUUAUGAGAUGCAGGUUAAAUUACCUUGAAAUGUUGGAAUUUAAUUAGAAAUGAAGGUGAAUUUCAGUGGGAAGAAGUUAUCCUGUUCUGUUAGCAUUAAUUGAGUUAAGUUGGUUGCUGUUAGAACAGUCGGUUGGACCUUAGUGUUUCUAAGGUUUGUUGUCAUCUUAAAAUGUGGUUUGCUUCAGUUCUUUUUGUGCUAUCACUUUUAAUCAGUGUCGUAUCAUU
rnacentral:lncRNA from 1 species